AUUGAACGCUGGCGGCAUGCCUUACACAUGCAAGUCGAACGGCAGCACGGGAGCAAUCCUGGUGGCGAGUGGCGAACGGGUGAGUAAUGUAUCGGAACGUGCCCAGUCGUGGGGGAUAACGUAGCGAAAGCUACGCUAAUACCGCAUACGAUCUGUGGAUGAAAGCGGGGGAACGUAAGGCCUCGCGCGAUUGGAGCGGCCGAUAUCAGAUUAGGUAGUUGGUGGGGUAAAGGCCUACCAAGCCGACGAUCUGUAGCUGGUCUGAGAGGACGACCAGCCACACUGGGACUGAGACACGGCCCAGACUCCUACGGGAGGCAGCAGUGGGGAAUUUUGGACAAUGGGCGCAAGCCUGAUCCAGCAAUGCCGCGUGCAGGAUGAAGGCCUUCGGGUUGUAAACUGCUUUUGUACGGAGCGAAAAGGCUCUCUCUAAUACAGGGGGCUCAUGACGGUACCGUAAGAAUAAGCACCGGCUAACUACGUGCCAGCCGCCGCGGUAAGAC
rnacentral:rRNA from 1 species